rnacentral:misc_RNA from 1 species
GUGAGUCAUCGAAUCUUUGAACGCACAUUGCGCCCUCUGGUAUUCCGGGGGGCAUGCCUGUUCGAGCGUCAUAACACCCUUCAAGCGUGGCUUGGUUUUGGGCUUUCGUCAUUGAUGACGGGCCUGAAAAUCAGUGGCAGAUGCCCUUGUGGUUCCUGAUGCAGUAGUUGUUUUCUCAUCUGGAAGGCCUGAGAAUAUCUAGCCAAAAUGGAUUAGGGCAGCAAUGCCUGAAUCUUCUUCUACAGUUUGACCUCGGAUCAGGUAGGGAUACCCGCUGAACUUAAGCAUAUCAAUAAGCGGAGGA